GCUUAUGGCCAUACCUCCCUGAAUAUGCCCGAGCUCAUCUGAUCUUGGAAGCUAAGCAGGGUCUGGUCCCGAUAGUACCUGGAUUGAAGACUGCCUGGAAUACCAGGUACUUUAAGCU
rnacentral:rRNA from 1 species